GGUUAAUGCUAGCGGUGCGCCUAACACAUGCAAGUCGAGGGGUAACGAGAGGAAAGCUUGCUUUCCUUGUCGACGACCGGCGCACGGGUGAGUAACGCGUAUCCAACCUGCCCCCAACUAAGGAAUAACCCUGCGAAAGUAAGACUAAUACCUUAUAAUUUCCUCAGAUGCCAUCUGACGAGGAAUAAAGAUUUAUCGGUUGUGGAUGGGGAUGCGUCUGAUUAGCUUGUUGGCGGGGUAACGGCCUACCAAGGCAACGAUCAGUAGGGGUUCUGAGAGGAAGGUCCCCCACAUUGGGACUGAGACACGGUCCAAACUCCUACGGGAGGCAGCAGUGAGGAAUAUUGGUCAAUGGGCGAAAGCCUGAACCAGCCAAGUAGCGUGCAGGAUGACGGCCCUAUGGGUUGUAAACUGCUUUUAUACAGGAAUAAAGUUAGCCACGUGUGGUUAUUUGUAGGUACUGUAUGAAUAAGGACCGGCUAAUUCCGUGCCAGCCGCCGCGGUAA
rnacentral:rRNA from 1 species